CCGAGUUAGGGUGUCAAACUUAUGCGCCCGACCUCCAACCCUUUGUCUACUUGACCUUAUGUUGCUUCGGCAGGCCCGCUGGUGUCCCUUUGGGGCCCGGCCGCCGGGGGUCCUCGUGGCCCCGGGUCCGCGGCCUGCCGAUGGCCCCUUCUUAAACUAUUGUUAAAACGUGUCGUCUGAGUUUACGAUUAAACAAUCAAAACA
rnacentral:misc_RNA from 1 species